rnacentral:rRNA from 1 species
AGCAGCCGCGGCAAUUCCAGCUCCAAUAGCGUAUAUUAAAGUUGUUGCAGUUAAAAAGCUCGUAGUUGAAUUUCGGGAUCAAUAUGUUGGUCGUGCCUUUGGUACGUACUAGCUUAUUGAUUUCUCCCUUCUGACGAACCAUGAUGUCAUUAAUUUGGUGUCAUGGGGAAUCAGGACUGUUACUUUGAAAAAUUAGAGUGUUUAAAGCAGGCUUACGCUUGAAUAUAUUAGCAUGGAAUAAUGAAAUAGGACGUUUUGAUUCUAUUUUGUUGGUUUCUAGGAUCGACGUAAUGAUUAAUAGGGAUAGUUGGGGGCAUUAGUAUUCAAUUGUCAGAGGUGAAAUUCUUGGAUUUAUUGAAGACUAACUACUG